rnacentral:lncRNA from 1 species
CAACUCAACCAACAGCAUGAAGAACACUGAAUAUAAGAAUUAGGUAUAAAAUCAGAGAAGAGUUCGGAAAGGUAGCAGUAAGGGAAAUAGAAUGGAGAAGCACAGCAACUAUAGUGUUGUAGAGGAAGAGGAUCUAGGUACAUGAGAGGAGAGGGGUGGAGAAGAUGAACAGUAGUAGUUGUGAGGUAGAGAGUUUAGGUUUCUUCAAAAUGAUUCUUUGAUGUUCCCGUGGUGUGCUGUCCUUGUCAUCUUGUACUCCACCCAGGUGCACCAAUAUGGCACACAGCCCAUUAACUGAUGGCCCAUAUGCGUUACUAACAUUCCCCCCUUCUUAAGCUUCGGCUUGCCCUCAAGCCGAUGUAGAACCUUUGAAACACCAGGAUUCCAAGGGAAGAUAAUGAACUUAUUGCUGACCGCGGGAACCUCACAGCAAACUGCUAUACGUAGAAGCACUUCUAGCUGGAAUAAAACUGUCAUAAUAAUAUAUAAAUUCUUUCCUGCACCUCCAUCUUUGUUCAAUGAUAACUGACGUGCACCAUAUAUAACACAGCCCAAGUAGUAUGGCACCAGUGAAUUGUUCCAAUGAUUUGUGUUGAGCUCAUGGGAGAUUCUUGAAAUGGGAGUAACCAACAUUUGAUAAGUCCAAAGCACUGCAUGAAGACUAAUCUCCAUCUGAUAGCAGUUGCAACUGAAAGAAGGCCACGGUGACAAAAAAUUGACAAUAAUUUGCUCGCAAACCUUAGCACUCAAUUCUUCAAACAUCUGUUGAGGAGGAUAAACGAGAACCUGCAAUACAAAUUCCCCAUUCUUCAGUUCAGGUGCAACUAGUACACCAAUUGUGUCUGGAUUAAAAAUGGAGAACAGCAUCCCAGGCCUCUGACUGGACAAAUACCUGCCUAGAUCUCUGCUACGAAAAUGCACACCGACCAGUUUCAGCAAGUCCCUUUCACCUUCCAAAGAUAUACCUGCUAAUUCAUGCACUGUACUUCUUGCGCCAUCUGCCCCUAGAAGACCACAGUGUACCUUUAUCUCUAUUAUUCUUCCCUCAUUGUUAAUUGAUGCUCCAACCAGAAUGCCCUCAUCAAUUUGCUGAAGGGAUGUGAAUGAUUUUUGCUGCAUGAGCCAAGAAGUGUGCAGUGAUGCAGCCCCACAAGGUGAUCCUUCACCAAAAUACUCAAGUUUGCCAUAAUUCCAAGUGAGAAACCACACCACACCUUCGUUAUGCUGCCUGUAGAAUUCAGUAACUCUAGAAAUUUUUCCAACAGCCCAAUUAUAGGAGCAGUGAUUAACCACCCCCAAUUCUUGAUGUAGAAUGUUGUCACCAUUGACAUGCAUAUAUCCACCAUAAGAAGUAAUCCAAUCAACCCCACCAUGCAGUCUUCUCUGUGAGUGCUCGAGUGAGCAGUGGAGCGCGGGGAAGGAGAGGAGUGUGCGAGCGAGGUUCGGCAUGUGCAGGGCCAUCGGGAGCAGCAUCUGGCGGAGCCGCGCAGGCGAGGAGGCCACGAAGGCGGCGAGGCCCUCGAGGAGGCACGGGGCGGGGUUGAACUCUCCAUAUAGCUUGGUGCUUUGCAUACCAGUCCAGACGCUGUCACUGCUGCUUCCUCCGUCGUGGUGUGAGGGAAGGAGAGGCUCCACAGAAGUUGAAGUGGUAGCGGCCGUGUUCGAGCAGGUGGCCUGUUUUGACCCGGCAGCCACCACCCAAGCCAGUAGCCCAUGCCCUGCUACGCCCACAACACUGUUGUGGAGUGCAGCUGUCGCUACCGGUGCAUGGCCAACGCAACCGACAGCUCGGUUGAGUGGCGCGUCGAAGUAGGCGACGGCGGACUUCGGGUCGUCGUCGAGGGAGCCGUCGUAGCCACUGAGUGGGGGUUCGUGGAGCACGCACUUGACGGGGACGAGGAUGUCGGCGGCGCCGUAGGCGUUCGGGUGGACGGGUCCAGCGCGGCGGGCGUACUGGGACCAUGGCGACUCUAGAGAGGGGAGGGAUGCACGGAUCUGCGCCACAGAGGUCUGAAGAUGCUCGAUGGAGGAAUCCACUCGGGGCCGCCAGAUGUCGAACACCUGGAUGACGGAUUCCAGCGCCGCAACACGAACUCCGUCUUCUUCUUCGAUUUGACGUUGCGGGGAGUCGAUAUUCACAUCGGUGACGGAGGCAUAGGACUCCAGCACGAUGGUGCCGGAUGCCCGGGCGCCGGUGUCGGCCUCGAUUUGACGGAUCCGCGCCUUGGCAUGCAGCUUUUUGUCCGUCGCCUCCGCGAGAAGCGUCGUUGAGCCGCUUCCCAUCUCCUCGAACGUGUUCACCACCAGACCGUCGGCUCUCGCGCUCUCGGCCAUUCGGUCGAGCACCUUGAACGUGCUCGAGCCCAAGGACAUCACCCCCACAGCGUCGUCACGGUACAGCUCGUCGACGACGGGAAGAGGAGGCGCUGGACUCAUCGCGGCGCGGUACUGCUUGUUCACGACCUCAGUGUGCAGCUGCGGCACCGCGAGGGAGGGCGGCAGCAGGUUCCCCGCGGCGAGUAGGGAAGGGGACGACGAGGGCUGGUCGAGCCUCGCGCGAUCCCCCGCAUUCGCGGCUGCUUCCAUCGCGCCAUGGCCUCCUCGACAGAGUAGGGCGACCACGGGGUUGAGGACGAAGAGAUGGCCGUGGCUGUGACGCGCGGAUGAGUUGAGGAGGUCCGGGUGGAUGUUGUUGGGCAGCGCGUCCAGCGCCGUGCAGUACUGCUCGUCGUCGUUGAAGAACCCGCCCCAGUUGUCGGUGAUGAUGGGCUCCUCAUAGUGCUGCUCGACGGAGUCGUUGCCACUAUCGAAGAGGUCGCCCCAGUUGUCGGCAACCACGUCGGCUCCGACAGCCGCGAAAUGGGUCGGAACAGGGACACGCCUGGAUGCCUCCCGCGCCGCGUCCCGCUUGGCCCACUGCUCGUCGAACUUGUCGAAGAGCUCGCUAAUGGCGUCGAGGAUGAGCUUCGUGUCAAGCAACAUGGCGAUGCGGUGAAGUCGAGGAAAAUAGAUCGAGGUAGAAAACUCCAAGGAUCGAACGAAUCUGAUACCAAUUGUUAGCUACUGUAAUCUCACCAACUCAACCAACAGCAUGAAGAACACUGAAUAUAAGAAUUAGGUAUAAAAUCAUAGAAGAGUUCGGAAAGGUAGCAGUAAGGGAAAUAGAAUGGAGAAGCACAGCAACUAUAGUGUUGUAGAGGAAGAGGAUCUAGGUACAUGAGAGGAGAGGGGUGGAGAAGAUGAACAGUAGUAGUUGUGAGGUAGAGAGUUUAGGUUUCUUCAAAAUGAUUCUUUGAUGUUCCCGUGGUGUGCUGUCCUUGUCAUCUUGUACUCCACCCAGGUGCACCAAUAUGGCACACAGCCCAUUAACUGAUGGCCCAUAUGCGUUACUAACAG